rnacentral:RNase_P_RNA from 2 species
CCGGAAGUGCGUUUCGUCGCCUGCCGAAGUAUGAGCGGCAGGAGGAAAGUCCGGGCAACAAAGAGCACCAUAUUCUCUAACGGGGAGCUAUCGGUAACGGUAGAGUAUCGUGACAGAAAACAACCGCCACGCUGUCAGCCGACAACAUGGUAAGGGUGAAAAGGCGGGGUAAGAGCCCACCGUGCAUCAUGGCAACAUGGUGUGACGCACGACUUAUGGGUUGCAAUGCCAAGUAUACCGGCAGCAUGUAGGGCGGCUCGUCCGAUGCCGGGGGGUAGGCAGCGCAGAUAAAUGACGGAACGCUCCCGUUAUCCCGGCUCCGGCCGGAAGUGGCGGGGCGACAUAACCCGGCUUACAGCAUCUGCGGGCGC